GAUGAACGCUGGCGGCGUGCCUAAUACAUGCAAGUCGAGCGAACGGACGAGAAGCUUGCUUCUCUGAUGUUAGCGGCGGACGGGUGAGUAACACGUGGAUAACCUACCUAUAAGACUGGGAUAACUUCGGGAAACCGGAGCUAAUACCGGAUAAUAUUAUGAACCGCAUGGUUCAAAAGUGAAAGACGGUCUUGCUGUCACUUAUAGAUGGAUCCGCGCUGCAUUAGCUAGUUGGUAAGGUAACGGCUUACCAAGGCAACGAUGCAUAGCCGACCUGAGAGGGUGAUCGGCCACACUGGAACUGAAACACGGUCCAGACUCCUACGGGAGGCAGCAGUAGGGAAUCUUCCGCAAUGGGCGAAAGCCUGACGGAGCAACGCCGCGUGAGUGAUGAAGGUCUUCGGAUCGUAAAACUCUGUUAUUAGGGAAGAACAUAUGUGUAAGUAACUGUGCACAUCUUGACGGUACCUAAUCAGAAAGCCACGGCUAACUACGUG
rnacentral:rRNA from 1 species